AUGGCCUGGCCUCCUGUUCUGCUCCUCUUCCUGCUAGCUCAGUACCCAGGCUCCUGGGCGCAGACUGGAUUGACGCAGGAACUAUCAGUGUCAGGGUCUGUGGGACAGACAGUCACCCUCUCCUGCACAGGAAAUAGCCACAAUGUCGGUGACAAAGGUGCAGGCUGGUACCGACAGAUUCCUGGUGCUGCCCCGAAAGCUGUGAUGUAUAGAAGUAGUCGACCUACAGGAAUCCCAGCUCGGUUCACUGCUACAAAAUCUGGAAACAGGGCCUAUCUGACCGUCUCAGGUGUGCAGCCUCAGGAUGAGGCUGAUUAUUACUGUGCUUCAUGGGACAACAGUAUCAGCAAUACCACAGUGCUUCAGACUCAAGGAGAAAUAAGACAAAAACACAGCCCUGUUCUAAGUGACCCCUCCCCCCAUGCCAGCCUGUGCCAGAUAGACAGGCAACAGAGCUGUGGAGAUUAUUCUGUCUGA